UACGGAGGGUGCAAGCGUUGUCCGGAUUUAUUGGGUUUAAAGGGUGCGUAGGCGGCCCGUUAAGUCAGUGGUGAAAGCCAACAGCUCAACUGUUGAACUGCCAUUGAUACUGACGGGCUUGAGUACAGACGAGGUAGGCGGAAUUUAAGAUGUAGCGGUGAAAUGCAUAGAUAUCUUCAAGAACACCGAUUGCGUAGGCAGCUUACUAGGCUGUAACUGACGCUGAGGCACGAAAGCGUGGGGAG
rnacentral:rRNA from 1 species